UGGCUCAGUGGUAGAGCACUUGCCUUGCAUGCAUGAGGCCCUGGGUUCGAUCCUCAG
rnacentral:tRNA from 1 species